rnacentral:lncRNA from 1 species
AUUGUAUAAACCAUAGUAGGAAAGGAUAAAGGUGUAUCACUAACAGAUUGGAUGAUAAGGCUUUUCUCCCCAACUGGGGUAUGACGGGCAACGGUGAUUUUCUAUGUUUCCCUUAAAAUAUAGAGAUAUAAAACAACAAAAUAGUGCAAUAUUGUUUUUAAAAGGUAAUUUUAAUACAUCAAUGAGCAGGAUGUAGAUAAAAUCAGGCAUCUCACCACUAGUAGUGAUCCACAGGUAGAUGAAACAAGUAAUCUUUGCCUCAUGGAACCCAACAAGAUCAAUAAUAGCAGCCAGAAAAUACAAUACAACAAAUAUUAAAGGAACACUAUAGUCACCUAAACAACUUUAGCUUAAUGAAGCCGUUUUAUUGUAUAGAUCAUGCCUCUCAUGUUUUACUGCUCAAUUCACUGCCAUUUAGGAGUUCAAUCACUUUGGUUCUGUUUAUGCAGCCCUUGUCACACCUCCCCUGGCUAUGAUUGACACAGCCUGCAUGAAAAAUAACUGGUUUCACUUUCAAUCGGAUGUAAUUUACCUUAAAUAAUUGUAUCUCAAUCUCUGUAAAUUGAACUUUAAUCACAUACAGGAGGCUCUUGCAGGGUCUAGCAAACUAUUAACAUAGCAGGGGAUAAGAAAAUCUUAAUUAAACAGAACUUUCAAUAAAGAAAGGAUACACUUUAGAUGACUCUUUACAGGAAGUGUUUAGGAAGUCUGGGUAAGUCACAUGCAGGGAGGUGUGACUAGGGUUCAUAAACAAAGGGAUUGAACUCCUAAAUGGCAGAAAAUUGAGCAGUGAGGCUGCAGGGGCAUGUUCUAUACACCAAAACUGCUUCAUUAAGAUAAAGUUGUUCAGGUGACUAUAGUGUCCCUUUAAAAGAAAUCCAAUGUUUUUCGUCUUCCAAAGACUUCCUUCAGAGAUAGUCCAUCCAUGACAUGAGCAGUGUCACAAGUGCAUUAGGGCCCUCCCCAAAGGAAAGCAUGGGGUAUUGCUUGAUGAUGGACAUCCUCAUGCAGAGCUUGAGAACGUCCAGCGUCACAUAGGCAACCAAAAAUCAUCUGACAAGCAGGAAUCACCUGGUUGACAGCCACUAGAGGCAGUCUUAGUCCUGCAAGGUAAUUAUUACAGUUAAUCUAAAACUGAAGUGUUUUACAUUGCAGGGCUGAGGGGGACAAGGACAUUGCACCCAGAUCACUUCCAUGAGCUGAAGUGUACUGUUUGCCUAUAGUGUCCUUUAAAAAAAAAUAAUAAUAUAUAUAUAUUUUAUGUUUUUACAGUGCAAACGUUUACAAGCAGGCUUGAGGUGCUCCAACAGCAUUCCACAAGCUUUUUAACAUUUAUAACAGUUGGAUACAGCAAAGAACGUACACAUUUUUGUAAAUAAGGUAGUUAGUAAGCUAUGCAUUCAUGUCUAAGCUCAUGACAAGAUUUAAAGGCUCAAAUAGCAAUGUAAUGCUAAGACAUUUGACAGUUUACACUCGAUAUAACCUCAGGCAAGGGGAUAGGCUACAUAGCACAAUGCUAUUACAUUAUAAGGCAGCGUGAUGUCUAAAAAUGAAAAUAAAUAUACUAAUGAGGAACUCACUUAAAACAAAUCACUAGGUGUUUGAAAUAUGCAAUAAUUCACAUCACUACUGCUAUUAGCAAGUGGCAAAAGGCCCAUGCAGGAGAUUCCUGUCGGAAUUAGCCCACUCCCAUCUGCAGUUGUGUGACUUUGCCAUCCUCCGAGACGUCUCUACCAGAUUGGGGAUCCCUCCAGGCCCAUGCCCGUGUGAGUGUCAGCAUCCCUGUACCACAGACUUGGGUACUACAGCAGUCCAAGUCUAUCCCCUGUGGAGGUUGGAGGAUUGUGAUGGUGUUCUCCGCUUGUCGCGGGUAAUCUUCCUUCCUCGUGGUCAUGCGAGGCAGGUAAGCCCCUUGCGGCUCUCGGCUUCGGAGAGCGUGUGGUAGGUCGUGCAGGUUUCGCCCUGAGUAGGCUCCUAUACUUCCUGGCUCUUGAUUCUCCCAUCUUUCUUGCGUAUAAGGACCUCGGCAGCUUGAACACGGUGUUUUAUUGUAAGCCAGAAGCAUUGGAAGAUUGCAUCCAACCUCUGCAAGAAAUCUGCAAUAUGGUAUUAGGAGGGUCUCUGCUUUGUGCUCUCAGUGUGGGUCUCCAAGUGAAAGGCAUCCGCCAUUUUGUGAAGUCGGGGGUUUCUGCACAUCACCCCUGUCAACAUGGUAAGUGUGGUUACAGCUGCUCAGGUUUGCUCUGAGGGAACCGGAAUGACCCCCCAGUCCAGGUGUGUGGGGGUGGGGGGGUUGGAGUGCUGCUGGCACCAGCCCUGGGUUGAAGCACGAAGGGAUCGUCCGAUCCUCCUCAGCCCCUUCCUCAGUAGGCCGCAGCAGAGCUCCCGGCCUCACUGUGUAGGAUAACGCUUGGAUAAGUUAGCGAUCAGCUAGUCCGGGGUCUCCUGACCAUAAGUAUAUAGCAUAUUUGGCGUGGCAGCCCCAAAAUCAGGUAGUAUACCCCAAAAUCAACAUGAGAUUCAGGAAAUCUGGCAUUCACAAUGUGGUUAGAUCGGAGGUCAGGCUCCGCCCCCUAUAGUGUCCUUUUAAAUGUUCAAUAUUUUUUUAUCAGUUCCAGCUUAUGUUACAUAUUUUAUUACACAUCAAUAUCCAGUAUCAUAUCAAAAUAGAUCCGAUUAGCUAAGUCUAGAACCAAAUGAUCUUUAUAUUACAAAUCCAUUUAACUGUUAAUGAUGGAUUUUCUCUUUAUCAAAAUUAUAAACUUCUUAUACCACUGAAUACAUAGAUAUAUUUACUUAGUC